rnacentral:sRNA from 1 species
AUAUAUGAUUUUGUAAUUUGAGUAGUUAAUGCAUGAACUCAAACAUCAAUCUUUGGUAAUGCAAGUGACAUGAAUCUAUAAUAGCCUAGACACAAAUACAAAUGCUUUAUUCAAAUUUGAGUGAGUCCAUGGCGGACCCACUAAAGAAGGAAGGGGGUCACUUGACCCCCCUUAAAAAUAUAUAAAAAACAUUUAGUCCUUUUAAAAUCCUAAAGUGCCAGUAUCAUAUUUGGUAAUUCUCAAAGUGGUGACAUCUCUUCUACCAUGUUCGAUUCUUGUAGACAUAAUUAU